UUCGGGCCUCUUGCCAUCGGAUGUGCCCAGAUGGGAUUAGCUAGUAGGUGGGGUAACGGCUCACCUAGGGCGACCGAUCCCUAGCUGGUCUGAGAGGAUGACCAGCCACACCUGGAACUGAGACACGGUCCAGGACCUCCUACGGGAGGCAGCAGUGGGGAAUAUUGCACAAUGGGCGCAAGCCUGAUGCAGCCAUGCCGCGUGUAUGAAGAAGGCCUUCGGGUUGUAAAAGUACUUUCAGGCGGGGAGGAAGGGAGUAAAGUUAAUACCUUUGCUCAUUGACGUUACCCGCAGAAGAAGCACCGGCUAACUCCGUG
rnacentral:rRNA from 1 species